rnacentral:lncRNA from 1 species
UACAUGUUAGAGAACGAUGUACUGGACAGACCCACCAUGAGAAUUCUAUAUGGAGCUUUAUGCGAAGUGUCGUUAGCAAUUCUCAUAGUGACAAUGAUGUAAUGGUCCUCCGACCUGAAAUCGCUAUAUUACUACACGAGAAUUUAUGUACUUUGAUAUCAUCAAAUGUCACCUUUAAUAGGGUGGACUAUAAAGGUGAUUAUUGGGUUCAUCAUUAAUCGUGUGAGAAAUAUGAGUGAUCUAGAUGGAAUUUAACCAUCCUAUAUAUUAUGGGUGAUAUCCAUAGGCCUCUUGAUUGAG